rnacentral:rRNA from 1 species
CUACGGGGGGCACCAGUGAGGAAUAUUGCACAAUGGGGGGAACCCUGAUGCAGCAACGCCGCGUGGAGGAUGACGCAUUUCGGUGUGUAAACUCCUUUUAUAUGUCAAGAAAAUGACGGUAGCAUAUGAAUAGGCACCGGCUAACUCCGUGCCAGCAGCCGCGGUAAUACGGAGGGUGCAAGCGUUACUCGGAAUCACUGGGCGUAAAGGACGCGUAGGCGGGUUGGAAAGUCAGGUGUGAAAUCCUACAGCUUAACUGUAGAACUGCACUUGAAACUUCUAAUCUAGAGUAUGGGAGGGGGAGAGGGAAUUAGUGGUGUAGGGGUAAAAUCCGUAGAUAUCACUAGGAAUACCUAAAGCGAAGGCGAUCUCCUGGAACAUUACUGACGCUAAGGCGUGAAAGCGUGGGGAGCAAACAGGAUUAGAUACCCGAGUAGUC